UCCGGCGGGAGCUAGCGUUGUUCGGAAUUACUGGGCGUAACGCGCACGUAGGCGGCUUUGUAAGUUAGGGGUGAAAGCCCGGAGCUCAACUCCGGAAUUGCCUUUAAGACUGCAUCGCUUGAAUCCGGGAGAGGUGAGUGGAAUUCCGAGUGUAGAGGUGAAAUUCGUAGAUAUUCGGAAGAACACCAGUGGCGAAGGCGGCUCACUGGACUGGUAUUGACGCUGAGGUGCGAAAGCGUGGGGAGCAAACAGG
rnacentral:rRNA from 1 species